UACCAAGAACCUUGAUGCCCAAAGCCA
rnacentral:piRNA from 1 species